UUGUCACUUUUCAGUUUUCCAUUGCUUCAGCAGAAAGCAAUUCCAAUGAAAACUGUAAAAUGUCAUUAUUAUAUAAUAUGGGUGAUUCAAGUUAACUGUUAGGAAGGUUUUCAGUCAGAUACCAAACGAUGAUUACUUCUGUAAUAUUAUAGCCACAUUUCCUGUUUCUGGUGUUUGAUAGAGAUGUUGGAGUAGAUCAGCCUUGUAGCCUGUAAGGGUGUACAAUGUCGGCCCUCAAGACACACAAGCAGUAAGAUUGAAGUAUGUGGCGAAAGGCGUGUACUUUAGAAUAGUUCCAGCCAGUUUUCCUGUUGUGGUGUGUGCAGCCAGAGGCCUGUGCAUGAUUUCUUUCUUUUUCAAAGUGUUCUCUGCUCUGUGCUACUGACAUCUGGUAAUGGCUGAGAGCAACAGAUAAGGAAAGUGUUUAUCUGUGAGGGACUCUGUGACGGACUGUUGAUUGGGGCCUGUAGGCAGCUGGAGGCUGGAGGAAUGGCCAUGAGAAAAGUUAGUAUGGAUAUGCAUGGUCCUCAGAGGCCAAGAAGUUUACUGAUUACACUUCUGCUCCCCAGAGGAUGAACCCCAGAACAAAAUAUACAUGCAAGCUGAUGGCAGCGGUGUGUGGUUGUGGAGUGGACGCUGUCGCAGCAGGAAAAGACGUUGCCCAUUAGCAGCAAUGUAUAAGGCCUUGUGUUGUUUGAUUAAUCCAUCAUACCCCUCAAAACAUUUUUUUAGAAUUUGUACAAACAGUAUUCAUUCCUUUUUUCUAAAAAUAAAUAAUCUGUUCUGUCGUGGAAAUGUAUCAUAUAGUCUCCUAGUUAUAUUUGGUCUCUAUAAAGCCUUACAGUCACUAACCCUGUGUUUUCUCACACGUGUCUGAUGUCUGUCUGCUAACAUUUGACAGACAGUAGCUGCCACUGUGACCAUAUUGUCAAGCAAUUAGCAGACGGAUGUUAACUGUUGUAAUUCAAAUGUGUCUUUGUUCCUUUGUUUCGAUUUGGUAGACAGAAAUGUGUAUUACCUGAUCCUUCCCAAGCUACUCUACUGUCUGCUGUCGGGUGCAC
rnacentral:lncRNA from 1 species